rnacentral:rRNA from 1 species
UACGUAGGGUGCGAGCGUUAAUCGGAAUUACUGGGCGUAAAGCGUGCGCAGGCGGUUCGUUAAGUUCGUUGUGAAAGCCCCGGGCUCAACCUGGGAACUGCAAUGGAAACUGGCGGGCUUGAGUGUGGCAGAGGGGGGUGGAAUUCCGCGUGUAGCAGUGAAAUGCGUAGAGAUGCGGAGGAACACCGAUGGCGAAGGCAGCCCCCUGGGCUAACACUGACGCUCAGGCACGAAAGCGUGGGGAGCAAACAGG